CAGCCGUAAACAAUGUGCGUUAGGUGUGUCGGUAACCACGUGUUACUGAUGCGCCGAAGAGAAAUCGUGAAACGCACCACCUGGGAAGUACGGUCGCAAGGCUGAAACUUAAAGGAAUUGGCGGGGGAGCACCACAACAGGUGGAGCCUGCGGUUUAAUUGGAUUCAACGCCGGACAUCUCACCGGAUAAGACAGCUGAAUGAUUGUCAAUCUGAAGGUUUUACAUGACUAGCUGAGAGGAGGUGCAUGGCGUCAGUGAC
rnacentral:rRNA from 1 species